rnacentral:lncRNA from 1 species
UAUGUUGCCCCUCCAUUUUUUUAUUGCCUUAAAUGCACUUCCAUAUAAUAGCAAAUAAAUUAACAAAAGGUGGAUUUAUACAGACAAAUAAAAGUAGAAAUAAACAUAAAAUUUAAAAUUUCACCAACUUGAAAGGUAUUUCCGGUAUUUCUUAUUUUAUAUUAUUCACUACAUUUAACUUUUAGUUUUAUUUAAUUUACUUGUAUAAUUUCACCCAAAAUUAAUAAAGUUUUACAAUACUAAUGAAAAAACGACACUUUAAAACAACACACAACUUGCCGAACAGUAUUCUAACCUAACUAACUUAUGACUAACUUCACCAAGCGCAUGUCAAAAAAGAAGGAUCAUUAGUUGCAUACCCGGGGCUAGACGCCAGUGCUGUUGACUCGCUGAUGCACUGGAGGUUGUUUAAUUGAUAAAAUAGGUGUAAAAAAUAUGCGGGACGAGAUUUUUCUUUUUUUUUUUGGGUUUUGGUUUAUAGAUCAUAUUUUUAAUAGAUUAUUUAAUUUCCUUUGGAGCUCUGCAGCACUGCAGCACACAUAGACCAGCCGCCACUGAUACAAGAUGUUCCAAAUUCAAGAGUAAAUACAAGGCAAGAAACUUGGAGUCUUUUAUUUGAAACGAAAGUCAGUAAAAUUGUUACAUGAGUUUUCAAAAUAUUUAGAUUUUGGUAAUAGUUUUGGGUACUCUCCGUAAAAAAUCUAUAAGAGGUAAUUAGUACAUAUGAAUUAUUUUUCUCUAGGCAGAGUUAAAAGCUGCCAUAUCCCUUAUUUUUCUUAUUAGCUUUUGAUGUGUUUGUGGCAAAUGAAAUUUCAAAUAUAAUAAUCUUUCUUAAUCUAAUCUCCAUACAUUAUUUUGUACAAUAUAUUUAUUUAUUUAUUUAAACUUCAAUAGGUCUUCAGUUAUAGGUCAAUAAAGGCAGUACUAAGAUACAUACCAAAAUAAAAUAAGACUGAAAGACUAGAACAGAGGAUUAUAAAAUUAAUUGAAUUCCACACUAAGUAGUUUUUCUUUAAGAGUUAAAACAUUUAUAUUAAAAAUAUCACAGAUUUGGAUCACUUUAUUGCACAACACCCAUCUGAGGACAUUAAAAUCUAUUCUAUUAAAUUAAUUCAGAUUACUAUAUUUUUCGUUUUCACUAUACAGUAUAAGCUCGGUGGCGUAAACACUCGUAUAUACGAGCAACUCGGUUUUGUGAAUAAAAUAUUUUUUGUAUUAGGUACUCUAUAGUGUGAACAGAAGUCUGCUCGAUAAUGUGAACAAUUAAACAAUACGUUUUUAAACGAUUUUUGAGCCAAUAUGCCAGUAAUAUUUUGACUGUCUCGCUGGUUUUUGACUUGUCGUAGCAUGUUUGCAUGGUUCACGGCGUUUAUAUGGCUUUUAUUCUUCAGUUUUCAGUUGACUUUAAACGCCUGUACAUUCGGUAACAACCUUUCUUUGCACGAUUCUCAAAAUGGGCAAAACUGUGCAAAAAAAAACAAUAAAACAAAAAAAACAUUACACUACAACAAAAAGCAAAUAUUAUUCAAGAACAUCGAAAAGGUGUGUCAGUUACUAUACUGGCUAGAAAAUACGGAGUUGCUAAAUCAACAAUUUGUUCGAUCAAGAAGAAAAGGGAGAAGAUUCUUGAAAGGGUAACCAACUCAUUAGGACCAAACAAAAAGUGUACGUUAAAAUCUUGUGAGUACCCAGAAAUGGAAAAACAGUUGUACAAAUGGUUCCUUACUCAAAGAGAACAAAAUCUUUCAAUAAGCAGCGAUAUAUUAAAACAAAAAGCAAUCAGAAUUUUUGGAAAUGUAUAUCCUGCGACAAUGAAGUUUAGUGCAAGUGAUGGAUGGCUGCAACGUUUUAAAGUCCAUCAUGGAAUACGAUUUCUAAAAAUAUCCGGUGAGAAAUUAUCAUCUCAGCCGGAACUGGUUGGGCCGUUUAAAGAACAAUUAAAAAAAGUUAUUGAUGAGCAACGGGUGACCUUCUUAGGAUGUACAAAUGCUACAGGUUGUUUCAAAUUAAAACCGCUGGUGCUUGGAAAAUCAAAAAAUCCCCGCUGUUUUAAGCACUUUAGAAAUCCGGUCAUUUAUAAAAAUUCCAAAAACGCAUGGAUGACUGCAGAGAUAUUUAAGUAUUGGUUUUUUACCACUUUGUUCCAGAAGUGAAGCAGUAUCUAAAAGAACAACAUCUUCCACUGAAAGCUAUUCUACUCUUGGAUAACGCUCUCCUCCAGCAGACACAUUAAAAACAGAUGACGGAAACAUAUUUGCUAUGUUUAUGCCUCCUAAUGUGACCCCGCUAAUCCAGCCGAUGGAUCAAAACGCUCUGAGACUCACAAAACUAUAUUACAGGAAGAGUUUACUAACUUCAAUUGUGGCAACUGAUGAACAUGUAAUCGAUUCAUUAAAAAAACUUACACUAAAAGACGCCAUGUUGCAUUUGCAUAGUGCUUGGCAAAAAAUUACACCUAGAACCUUAUCUAAAUGUUGGUAUCCUGUACUGUCAAAAAAUACAGAAUAUACAGAUGAAGAUUCCAUACCAUUAAGCGAACUUAAAAAAAUUUGGGAAGACGAAGAGGCUGAUCAAGUUGUUUCGGAGACUCUGAGUUUACUAAGGGAGGUUCACGAGGCUGAAUAUACGACAAACGAUAUCACUGAAUGGAAUAAGGAUGAUGCUGGCAUUAACCUUAAUGAUGAUCCAAAUGAUAAUGCUGUUUCGGAAGAAGAAGACGACUGUCAGGUCAUUGAAGAUCCAAAGCCUAAAAUAAGAUAUUCUGAAGCCAUUGAAGCAUUAAAGCUAUGCAUGCAAUUGGCACAGGAAAACUUUGUUAAUAUUGACCUUAAUUUGUUAAUAUUGCCUUAAAAAACUUUAUGAAAAAGCUGUAAUUAUAAAUACAAUAUCUAAAACGAAGCAAUUAAAAAUUACUUCUUUUUUUAAAUAAAUUUUGUAGGUAUUUUUUAAUACAUAGGUAUUAUAAAUAAUACAUACUAAGUAAAUAAACAAAGGCUUGAAACUUAUAAUUUAGUCUCUUUACAAAAAAAAAACAUAAUAAUCAUCCUCAUCCCAUAAUGUGAACAAUCGGUAGUAUGAAGUAGGGUUGGUUUUUUUGUGUUCAUGUUACCGAGCUUGUGCUGUAUUAUAUAUAAAAAUAACAGACUGGGCAUCUCUCUCUGAGUCUAAUUACAGAAUCCAUUUUAAACCACCUUGAGUUUCUAAUAACAAAACCCAGCGCCCUCUAUAUGCUUUUUUAAUAAUAAUUAUUUCCUGGUGCUUAUUAAAUUUUAGGUUUGAUUGCAAAUAAACCCUCAAGUUCUGGCAUUCAGUCUUUCUACUAAUAUUAUUUAAUUUAUAAUAUAGGGCUAUUUUUUCAGGUAAAGCUAAUUACAUGACACUUGCUGAUAUUAAGAUACAUUUUAUGGUCAACAAACCAUUUGUUGAUAUGUAAAUCCUUCUGUAAAUCUUUAGAAUCAUUAAGUUUAAAUAUUUUAAUCAGCAAAAACUAGGCUUUGGGAAAAUUGAACACACUCAGGUAGAUUGUUAAUGAAAAUUGCAAACAGUAAAGGGCCAAGAUUACUACCCUGAGGCACUUCCGAUGUAGUAACAAACGUAUUUGAAAAUUAUUUUCAUACUUUUACUGAUACUUGAUAGGACUGCAUAGGCCACAUGCCAAUUAAGAAAAGCCAAUUGCACAUAAUUUAUCAAUUAAUCAACGCUGUCAAAUGCCUUCGCACAGUCAGUAUAACAACAUCUAGUUGAGCCUUAUUAUUACAAACUGCCUCCGAGGCAUUAUCAGUCAAUAUUCAAAAGUUUGUUACAGUGGACCUGCUAGGUAAAAACCCAUGUUGUUGAAUAGCAAAUUUGUUAUUAAAAGUUUUUAAUAUAUCAUUUAAUUUUUGCUAUUGCAUACAAAACACUAACUGCUCUAUAAUUUUGCACUGAAUUUAUAUCACCAGAACCUUUAUAAAUUGGAGUGAUGAUUGCUGUCUUAAGUUCAUUGGGAAAUUGAUUAUUUUUAACUGCAUUAUUAAACAUUUUUGCCAGGGGUUGAGAGAGAAAAUCAACACAUCUCUUAC